UACCUCAGUAACGGCGUAGUGAAGCGGUAACAGCUCAAAUUUGAAAUCUGGCGCUUUCAGCGUCCGAGUUGUAAUUUGUAGAAGAUGCUUUGGGUGUGGCUCCGGUCUAAGUUCCUUGGAACAGGACGUCAUAGAGGGUGAGAAUCCCGUAUGUGACUGGUUGCCUUCGCCUAUGUAAAGCUCUUUCGACGAGUCGAGUUGUUUGGGAAUGCAGCUCUAAAUGGGAGGUAUAUUUCUUCUAAAGCUAAAUAUUGGCCAGAGACCGAUAGCGCACAAGUAGAGUGAUCGAAAGAUGAAAAGCACUUUGGAAAGAGAGUUAAACAGUACGUGAAAAUUGUUGAAAGGGAAGCGCUUGCAACCCAGACUUGCCCGCCGUGGAUCAUCCUUCGUUCUCGAUGGUGCACUCCGCGGCGGUCAGGCCCAGCAUCGGUUUUGGUGGUGGGAUAAAGGCCUUGGGAACGUAGCUCCUCUCGGGGAGUGUUAUAGCCCUCGGUGCAAUGCCGCCUACCGGGACCGAGGACCGCGCUUCGGCUAGGAUGCUGGCGUAAUGGUUGUAAGCGACCCGUCUUGAAACACGGACCAAGGAGUCUAACAUCUAUGCGAGUGUUUGGGUGUUAAACCCAUACGCGUAAUUAACGUGAACGGAGGUGAGAACCCUUUAGGGUGCAUCAUCGACCGAUCCUGAUGUCUUCGGAUGGAUUUGAGUAAGAGCAUAGCUGUUGGGACCCGAAAGAUGGUGAACUAUGCCUAAAUAGGGUGAAGCCAGAGGAAACUCUGGUGGAGGCUCGCAGCGGUUCUGACGUGCAAAUCGAUCGUCAAAUUUGGGUAUAGGGGCGAAAGACUAAUCGAACCAUUAAGGAACAACUACUAGGUGGGUAGACGCGCGCCGCAGGGUGCGCGUAGUCCGUCUAGGGCAACACUGUCAAAUUGCGGGGACCUCCUGUGAAAGUACUACUACCGCAGCGAGGGCGAAAGCUCUCGUGCGCACCAGGUUAGCGACCUUGGGGAUGGUAAAACGUUAGUGCUAGGACGACCUUGCAGCCAAACCCUACCCACGGGUGCCGUUCACAGACUAAAUGUCAGUGGGGUGUGCGUUACGCACGCUCUAAGUUAUAGUCGAGCCUCGGUAGCAAUGCC
rnacentral:rRNA from 1 species